rnacentral:rRNA from 1 species
CACGGGUCAGACUCCUACGGGAGGCAGCAGUCGGGAAUUUUGGGCAAUGGGCGCAAGCCUGACCCAGCAACGCCGCGUGAAGGAUGAAGCAUUUCGGUGUGUAAACUUCAUAAGAGUGGGAAGAAUAAGUGGGGGGGAAUAUCCCCCAUGAUGACGGUACCAUUUGUAAGCUCCGGCUAACUCCGUGCCAGCAGCCGCGGUAAUACGGGGGGAGCAAGCGUUGUUCGGAUUUACUGGGCGUAAAGGGCGCGUAGGCGGCGCGACAAGUCACUUGUGAAAUCUCCGGGCUUAACCCGGAGCGGCCAAGUGAUACUGUCGUGCUUGAGUGCGGAAGGGGCUACUGGAAUUCUCGGUGUAGCGGUGAAAUGCGUAGAUAUCGAGAGGAACACCUGCGGCGAAGGCGGGUAGCUGGGCCGACAC